AGUGAACGCUGGCGGUAGGCCUAACACAUGCAAGUCGAACGGCAGCACAGUAAGAGCUUGCUCUUACGGGUGGCGAGUGGCGGACAAGUGAGGAAUACAUCGGAAUCUACUUUUUCGUGGGGGAUAACGUAGGGAAACUUACGCUAAUACCGCAUACGACCUACGGGUGAAAGCAGGGGAACUUCGGACCUUGCGCGAUUGAAUGAGCCGAUGUCGGAUUAGCUAGUUGGCGGGGUAAAGGCCCACCAAGGCGACGAUCCGUAGCUGGUCUGAGAGGAUGAUCAGCCACACUGGAACUGAGACACGGUCCAGACUCCUACGGGAGGCAGCAGUGGGGAAUAUUGGACAAUGGGCGAAAGCCUGAUCCAGCCAUACCGCGUGGGUGAAGAAGGCCUUCGGGUUGUAAAGCCCUUUUGUUGGGAAAGAAAAGCAGCAGGUUAAUACCCCGCUGUUCUGACGGUACCCAAAGAAUAAGCACCGGCUAACUUCGUG
rnacentral:rRNA from 1 species